rnacentral:rRNA from 1 species
GACGAACGCUGGCGGCGUGCUUAACACAUGCAAGUCGAACGGAAAGGCCCUGCUUUUGUGGGGUGCUCGAGUGGCGAACGGGUGAGUAACACGUGAGUAACCUGCCCUUGACUUUGGGAUAACUUCAGGAAACUGGGGCUAAUACCGGAUAGGAGCUCCUGCUGCAUGGUGGGGGCUGGAAAGUUUCGGCGGUUGGGGAUGGACUCGCGGCUUAUCAGCUUGUUGGUGGGGUAGUGGCUUACCAAGGCUUUGACGGGUAGCCGGCCUGAGAGGGUGACCGGCCACAUUGGGACUGAGAUACGGCGCAGACUCCUACGGGAGGCAGCAGUGGGGAAUAUUGCACAAUGGGCGGAAGCCUGAUGCAGCAACGCCGCGUGCGGGAUGACGGCCUUCGGGUUGUAAACCGCUUUCGCCUGUGACGAAGCGUGAGUGACGGUAAUGGGUAAAGAAGCACCGGCUAACUACGUG